CCCAAAAACCGUUACUCAGUUCAGAUUGCAGGCUGCAACCCGCCUGCAUGAAGUCGGAAUUGCUAGUAAUCGCGGAUCAGCAUGCCGCGGUGAAUACGUUCCCGGGCCUUGUACACACCGCCCGUCACACCAUGGGAGCCGGUAAUACCCGAAGUCAGUAGUCCAACCACGUGAGGACGCUGCCGAAGGUAGGAUUGGCGACUGGGGUGAAGUCGUAACAAGGUAUC
rnacentral:rRNA from 1 species